rnacentral:rRNA from 1 species
UCCACCGCAUGGUGAGUUGCUGGAAAGAAUUUUGGUCAAGGAUGGACUCGCGGCCUAUCAGCUUGUUGGUGAGGUAACGGCUCACCAAGGCGACGACGGGUAGCCGGCCUGAGAGGGUGACCGGCCACACUGGGACUGAGACACGGCCCAGACUCCUACGGGAGGCAGCAGUGGGGAAUAUUGCACAAUGGGCGAAAGCCUGAUGCAGCAACGCCGCGUGAGGGACGACGGCCUUCGGGUUGUAAACCUCUUUUAGCAGGGAAGAAGCGAAAGUGACGGUACCUGCAGAAAAAGCACCGGCUAACUACGUGCCAGCAGCCGCGGUAAUACGUAGGGUGCAAGCGUUGUCCGGAAUUAUUGGGCGUAAAGAGCUCGUAGGCGGUUUGUCGCGUCUGCUGUGAAAUCCCGAGGCUCAACCUCGGGUCUGCAGUGGGUACGGGCAGACUAGAGUGCGGUAGGGGAGAUUGGAAUUCCUGGUGUAGCGGUGGAAUGCGCAGAUAUCAGGAGGAACACCGAUGGCGAAGGCAGAUCUCUGGGCCGCUACUGACGCUGAGGAGCGAAAGGGUGGGGAGCAAACAGGCUUAGAUACCCUGGUAGUCCACCCCG